UGGAGUCUAGUUGGGAUGAAAUACCUAACAUAUCCAAACUAUAAUUACAAAUACGACUAAAGAGUAUUAAACCUCUAUUAUCUCCAGAUGAGAGAGAAGCUCCCCAAUGGCUUUGCAGAAUGUGGGAUGAGUGCCUAGUAUGGAAGUCUUCUUAUCCGCAUACCUGAUCCUAUGUUAUAGAGAUAUAGUGCCCCGAACGAAGGGAUGUCAGUACAUAUAAAACAUGUGCUAGCAUGUAAAGCAGACAGAAUAAUAAGUAACAAGUAUGGAUGCUUAUAUGGAUUAGAUACCAAGAUGAAAGAUUUAUGAGCAUGCGAGUAAAUGAUAUACAAUAUGACAAUUCUGAAACAAUGGCUAAUACACAAGUUUAACUGGCAUGUCCUAAUUUAAGUAUUAAGGAUAUGCAAUUAUGGAUCCAUAUUAUUGGAAAAUAUAGACCUAUGUAGGCAACCUUAUUAGUUUAUACAUGUGUCCUCAAAGUUAUUCUUCAUUAUAAGACACUUAGCAAUUUGCCUAGGUGAUGUCCUAUGCCUAUAUCAAAUACAAAUGAUUAUAAGAUGGCCUACCGAAUGCAUUAUAUGUCAAAUAUGUGGCAAUAUUGCCUUAUAUCUAUGUAUGUCUUUGUUAUUGGAUUGCAGUCUGCUGUAGGGUAUGCCCCUCCUUAGGGGCUCACUAUAAGGGUCUGCCCGCAAGCCAUAUGCGCCAUAUAUUAGCUCGAGUCAGGGGCAUCCCAGCUGACUCCAAAUGCAAAUGAUGCCACAAUGGUGGGUACGCCAUAAUGCUUGGGCUCACUAUAAUGGUCUGGUCUCGAUCCUGGGCAGACAAUCACGUCGAAUGAUUUGCCAAGCCAAACCUAUGUACCCUCCCGUCGUUAGCGAUUUUCUAAGCCAAACCUAUGUACCCUCCCAUCAUUAAAUUUCUCAAGUAGUGCCAAUAGGCCUAUGCGAGUGUAACAUGAUAAAUAAUAUUCAGCCAUUAAAGUAAUAUUUUCCAUGUAUAACUAAUUCAUUUACUAGUAUCGAGUCGCUGAAACGCUAGUUCUUUAUAUAUUGUUAUGUGAUUCAAUAUGCAAGUGCAACUAUACUAUGGCUAUUUAUUCUAAACAUAUAGCGUGUGAUAGAGAUCAUAUGAAUUCUAAGACUUUCUAAUACAUACCAACACAAUCAUAUAUCGCUCUAUAGAUGCUAGAUUUGACAAGAGUAAAACAAAUUGCGAUUUCAAUAAGUAGACACGUGAAAGAAGGAGACAAGUAAUUUAAGACGAGAAAGGAACGUGAAUAUUGUGGCGACAUUAGGCAUAGAAUAUAGAAAGUGGGAGAUUCAUUUUUACAUAUCAAGUAGACUAUAUCGACUCCGCUAGGAGAAGUAACUAACUAUGGGUUAAGCCUUAACGAUGAAAGAGGAUUUAGCUUUACAUACUUUUGAUGCCUUCCUAGCUAAUGGUCGGGUUGAGUGUUUCAAACAAUUCAACACUCCUAGGUGUCUUCUUUCUCAACCAACCAACCAAUAAGUUCGAACUACCUAAUCAAUGAGCAAUCACUCCAACAUAAGCAACUACAUAUACAAUACAUAAGUAUAUUGAUCAAUGACCCAAAGGUUUAUUUUACAACUUGUUUUAAUACCCUUUUCUUACUCUCAAAAUUAAGCAAAUUCCUUUUUACAAUAUCGAUAUUAAAUAUUCCCCUAUCAAUAGAAAUACCUAAAAAUUUCACUUCUAUCACAACUCUAUCUUUUCUCUUUUUUCCUUUUAAGAACCCUAAUUACAAAACCCACUUCAAGACCUAGUAAGAAUUUCCAUUCAAAUGGUAAUUACUACCUCCUCCUAUACUUCAAACAUGCAUUUCAUAAUAAUAUUCAAGUAAAGGAUAGAGAAAUUACCUAAUUAAAAUAAAUCCUCAAUCUCUCAUGAUACCAUUAAAGGAAGGAAAACACGUAGUGGUACUGUUGAUGCUCGACUCUUGACAACCAAAAAAUAUUUUCAAGCCAAAACUUCUCAAUAAUGAUUACAAUAUAGUAGAAAAGAAGAAGAAACAUGAAAGAGAAGCCUUAGGAACUAGAAUAUACUAGUACU
rnacentral:lncRNA from 1 species